GUGGGGAAUAUUGGACAAUGGGGGGAACCCUGAUCCAGCCAUGCCGCGUGUGUGAAGAAGGCCUUUUGGUUGUAAAGCACUUUAAGCGAGGAGGAGGCUACCGAGAUUAAUACUCUUGGAUAGUGGACGUUACUCACAGAAUAAGCACCGGCUAACUCUGUGCCAGCAGCCGCGGUAAUACAGAGGGUGCGAGCGUUAAUCGGAUUUACUGGGCGUAAAGCGUGCGUAGGCGGCUUUUUAAGUCGGAUGUGAAAUCCCCGAGCUUAACUUGGGAAUUGCAUUCGAUACUGGGAAGCUAGAGUAUGGGAGAGGAUGGUAGAAUUCCAGGUGUAGCGGUGAAAUGCGUAGAGAUCUGGAGGAAUACCGAUGGCGAAGGCAGCCAUCUGGCCUAAUACUGACGCUGAGGUACGAAAGCAUGGGGAGCAAACAGGAUUAGAAACCCGGGUAGUCC
rnacentral:rRNA from 1 species